rnacentral:sRNA from 1 species
GCGCGCAAGCGCGGCCCGCAGGGUGAGGCGCAACGCGCCGAAUAAUCCUUCUCCCACCACCA